UUUAGAUAAGGUAAGAAAAUUUAUUGAAAUUGGGAAAAGCUCCCGCUUACAAGGGGUAUACCAAAAAGUUGAGAAUCUACAAUGAUGUUUUCUUUGUCAAAGUUAACUUUUCAGCCAUUACAUACUAUUUUCUUGCACUACAAGUAAUAUAAAUAAGUCAAAUGAAUAUCUUAAACAUUGUGUCCAGUCAAACACCACCACGUGAAUUGAAAUGGAGAUUGUAGAUGCUAGUCGAGUGUUAGUCCUCUUGAGCUUAGCAUGCAAUAAAU
rnacentral:lncRNA from 1 species